rnacentral:rRNA from 1 species
CCACGGGUGGCUGCAGUGGGGAAUAUUGGACAAUGGGGGGAACCCUGAUCCAGCCAUGCCGCGUGUGUGAAGAAGGCCCUCGGGUUGUAAAGCACUUUCAGUGAGGAAGAACGCCUGGUGGUUAAUACCCAUCAGGAAAGACAUCACUCACAGAAGAAGCACCGGCUAACUCCGUGCCAGCAGCCGCGGUAAUACGGAGGGUGCGAGCGUUAAUCGGAAUUACUGGGCCUAAAGCGCGCGUAGGUGGCUUGAUAAGCCGGUUGUGAAAGCCCCGGGCUCAACCUGGGAACGGCAUCCGGAACUGUCAAGCUAGAGUGCAGGAGAGGAAGGUAGAAUUCCCGGUGUAGCGGUGAAAUGCGUAGAGAUCGGGAGGAAUACCAGUGGCGAAGGCGGCCUUCUGGACUGACACUGACACUGAGGUGCGAAAGCGUGGGUAGCAAACAGGAUUAGAUACCCCAGUAGUC